CCUGAAGCAGGAAAAAAAAAUAUGUAUUUAUCUGGCUUUCUACUGCAAUGGAAAAGAAAUGUUGCUUUUGAUUUACUCUCCUGGGAUUGCUGGCGUCUCUUCAACCCUCCACCCUUUCCUUUUAAGAAAAUAAAGAGAAACACACUUAACAAAAAGAAACAGAAACUGAGAGACAAUGACUGAAAUAAUCAUUUUCCCUUGGCCUUCGUAUAAUGGAGGGAGUUGUCAUCAAGAGACUAAAGGAAAGUUAACAUUGAAACCAAGAUACAUGUGUUUGAAGCAAGACAAUAAACUAUUCACACCACAUUUCUAAGGCUCGACAAGCAAUUCCUACAUGAUCCAGAGAAAAAGCACUACCACUAGCCUAGCAGGCAGUACUGAAGCAAAGAGAUGGACAGGGUGUGUGUGUGUGUGUGUGUGUGUGUGUGUGUGUGUUGCACGCUCAAGCCUCCCCAGGGGAGGUGGUGAACCCCUGGCAACCUUCAAGGCCCAUAUUAAGAAGUCAGAGUGUAGGGGCUGGGGAUUUAGCUCAGUGGUAGAGCGAUUGCCUAGGAAGCGCAAGGCCCUGGGUUCGGUCCCCAGCUCUGAAAAAAAAAAGAACCAAAAAGAAGUCAGAGUGAGCCCUCCCCCACCACCUGUGUGGCAAUGACAGGAGGAUUCAUGGCGUGGGUUCCCAGGUGUUCAUUUCCUUGCUUUGUUCAGGCUAAGAGCGAGUGUGCUAGUGUGCACACAGAGGCGAGUGUGCAGAGAGGCUAGCCUGCAUCAGGCUAUGUACUCUGCUCCACAGAGGCCGAGGUGAGGUCCGCCCAAACCCCAGGCCAGGGCUACAAACAGGGCGACUUGAUGGUUGGCAGGAGAGGCCCUCUUUCCCUGCUUUGGCCCGCUUAUACCCUUCACUUAUUUGAUUCUGUUUGCACUGUAAACAUUGUGUUUCAAAAUGCAUUGGGAGCUCCCCUGUGGCUAGUCCUGGGCUUGUGCAAAUCUAUGUGGAGGGGAAAGGGCAUGGGCUCAGGGGGAGAGCGUGCAUGAGAGAGUGGGAGAGGAGAGUGGGAAAGAAGGAGGUAAAGAAGAAAGCAGAGGAAAGAGAGGGAAAAGAAAGGAGAAAGAGAUGGGAGAGAAGGGUUGGGGAAGAGGGAAGGGGAAAGGGCAGCUGCAGGAGAGGAGACAUGGAUUGUUCAGUGUCACUGGUUUGCUCCACCCCCUCACCCAUGCCCCAGUUGCCAGAUUCCAGGCCCCAGUUUCUGCUUCCACUGGGGACUAAAAACACCUUAGAGUUGCUGCCUAGUGCUGCUAUCUUGGAACCUUGAACCUGUAGGUGACUUCAAUAACUAACAGGGAGAGUCACGUGGUGGUAGAGCUCCCAGGAAACAAACCAGGGGCCUUCCCUUCAGGUUAAUACUUAAGAGACUGACAGGGCUGAGACUAGCGCAGCGUGUGAGACCCUGCACAGGCCCCGGGCCUUGCUGCUAGAACAAGCCAGAAGGGCUGGUUUUCCAGGGGAAGGAAGACCCAGCGUGCCUAUGAAGAUGAGCCCUGGAUUGUUAACAGGGAUAAUCGAAGGCAAGGGGCAUUUUUUCCCUCCCGAGAGCACACAUCCUUUAUGCUGUCACUCCCAGACCUCUGGAGGAGCUGUCUCAGUGCAGAAGGGCCAGGGAUCCAUGCAGCUCAAAGGCACGCACAGCUCAUCUCUGACGAGGCAGCAACCACCACCAUCUAUGAAACCAACCAACCAGCCAAAGACUCCAACCAGCACUGCUGACUCCAUGGAGUAGAAAGGCAGACAAGAGGUAUAUGGGGUUGGGGUGAGCAGACAGACACGAAUACUUCCAUCAAUCCAAGCAUACCUCGAGGCCUUGGGGAAGCUGUAUGAAAAUCCUGCUAUGUGUACAGACAAGGGACCUUUGCACACCAGUUGAUAACCCACCAAUUGCUUGAAGCACAGAAAACAGCCUCAUUAAAAAAAAAAAAAAAAAAAAACAACCUAACGUGACCGGGUGUAAAACAUUUGCCGUGUAUUUUUCAGGUGGCUCCUUUGCUUUGAUUAAUAACAGCAAAUAUUUUAAAAUUUCUUUGUCAAAAAGCAAGAUGGCAGCUUCUUCAGGCCUGGCCAGAUAGGGAGAAAGUGAACGGAGCUUGUGUGUGUGUGUGUGUGUGUGUGUGUGUGUGUGAACACUGAAGUACUGGUUCAAGUACCAGCACCAAAAAGGGGGGGAAGGGGCCUUUAAAAAAAAAGUUAAAGGCUAGAAGCUACUAUACCAUACUGGGAUUCUUUAAAUUAGUUAUUAUUUGUGCCUCUGUAUGCAUGAGUACCUGUGCAUGGGGGAGGGGCAGGCAAACAAGGUGUGGAGUCUCUUCAAGAUGGAAUUUUAAGCAUUUGUAAGAUGCACAACGUAUAACAUGGAUGCUGGGAUCUGAGCUCUCCUCUUAACCAGCCAGCCAGCUCCCCGACUCCCCUAUGCAGGGAUUCCAGAUGAAAAUGGUAGGUGUUUAUGCAGGAAGUGAUUUCCUUUCCCCCUUUCGCAUGCUUUCCCUUUACACAUGGUUUGGAUAACCAGGCUGUAUUCUGUGAUAAAGAGUCACACGGGGCCAUUUUAAAAGACAGUUCCAUGGUGCCCAAGCAUUGGAUCGUAAGAAGGACCUCUUCAAGCAGCACCAUCAUUUAAAGCUCAUAUAUUUGCUGCAAUAUCAUUUUUAAAACGGUAAUAUGCUUUUUGCCUCGCAGAGAUGUAGAAAUGGUGAGCGUGUUUAGCAUGUUAUAGCAUGUCUAAAAGUCACUAGUGGAAUUUACCCAUAUCUGACCUGUGUGUGUGUGUGUGUGUGUGUGUGUGUGUGAGAGAGAGAGAGAGAGAGAGAGAGAGAGAGAGAGAGAGAGAGAGAGAGCGAGCAGCUGUAACCAUAGGGGCUACUUUUGUACCCAGGGCCUGUAUGUCCCCCACUCCAAUGUGAACAUUAAAGCCACCAGUCAGCCAAAUUCAUUCAUGCAGAGCAGUCAGAAAAGGAAGAGAGGCAUUAUCUGAAGGGCACCGGGAACAAAGCCAGGCAGAAGGAACAAGAGUUUGCUGAGGACAACGGGACCUUGUUUGUCAACUCUUCAAUGGAUGAGCUGCAAAUGUUCUCCGAAGAGAAUCAAGCCAAAGCAAACCACUUAAAGUGACACAGGCCAGAGACACAGGUGGUAAAGAGGAGUACCUGCUGCUCCUGAAGCCCUGAGUCCGGCUCUCAGCAACUCCAUCUCUGGGCUCACAGGCACCUGUAACCUUGGCUCCAGGGUCUCUAACUCCUCUUCUAGCCUCCACAAAUACCCGCACACAUAUGUGCAGACACAAACUCGCAUAAGAAAACUUCAAUUAAACCUUAGUAAAGGCAACC